GCCUGGCUGGCUCAGUCGGAAAAGCAUGUGACUCUUGAUCUCGGGAUCACGGGUUUGAGCCCCAUGUUGGGUG
rnacentral:tRNA from 1 species